rnacentral:rRNA from 1 species
GAUGAACGCUGGCGGCGUGCCUAAUACAUGCCAGUCGAGCGAACAGACGAGGAGCUUGCUCCUCUGACGUUAGCGGCGGACGGGGGAGUAACACGUGAAUAACCUACCUAUUAGCCUGGGAUAACUUCGGGAAACCGGAGCUAAUACCGGAUAAUAUAUUUAACCGCAUGGUCAAAUAGUGAAAGACGGUUUUGCGGUCACUUAUAGAUGGAUCCGCGCCGCAUUAGCUAGUUGGUAAGGUACCGGCUUACCAAGGCAACGACGCGUAGCCGACCUGAGAGAGUGAUCGGCCACCCUGAAACUGAGCCCCGUCCCAGCCCCCAACGGAGGGCAGAGGUAGGGAAUCUGCCGCAUGGGGCCAAGGCCUAACCAGGCAACGCCGCUUGAGUAAUAAAGACUUUCGGAUCGUAAAACGCUGUUAUGAGAAAGUAACAAAUGUGUCAGAAACAGUGCACAUCUUACGGUAACCAAAUCAGAAAGACCCGCUAAACUCCUU